rnacentral:rRNA from 1 species
UACGAAGGGGGCUAGCGUUGCUCGGAAUCACUGGGCGUAAAGCGCACGUAGGCGGCUUUCUAAGUCAGGGGUGAAAUCCUGGAGCUCAACUCCAGAACUGCCUUUGAUACUGGAGAGCUUGAGUCCGGAAGAGGUGAGUGGAACUCCGAGUGUAGAUGUGAAAUUCGUAGAUAUUCGGAAGAACACCAGUGGCGAAGGCGGCUCACUGGUCCGGUACUGACGCUGAGGUGCGAAAGCGUGGGGAGCAAACAGG